UUUUUUUUUUUUUUUGUCGUUCCUCCUCCUCAGAAGAUUUGGGGGAAAGAACAGAAAAGUAUUGAAAAGAUUUCCUUAUUCUUUUAUCUUUUCAAUCAGUGUCAUACUAACAAAAAGAUGUUUUGAAGUCUUUAACCAUUAAUUGACUAACUGGUUUUCUUUAGACAUAAAACUUGUCAAGGCCUUGAUUGUUGUGAAUCCAUGGUGAUAGAUUCUGGCUGACUGCCUAAGUACAAGGUCUCUGAACACUAGGAUAACACUUUCUGAAACAGUUGGGGCUUAUCCCCCAUAAUGCCAUUUAAACAAACUUAAUUGACUAAAACUUUCACUUUUGUGCAUUCUGUAUGAGGUACCAUUUGCAAGAAGAGGCCUUUUAGGAAUAGAACCUAAGUGACAAAAUCUGACCUGUACCUAGCCUUAGAUUUCUCAGUUCUUGUUUACUUACACAAAAUAAGCCGAUAUGAACUGCCUUAAAAAUCCACUAUAAGCAGAAAGUCUCUUGCAUACCAUAAUUUUUCACAAGUGAAUAACCUUAGAAUGAGUCCAAAUUGAAACUCUAUGAACAGAAUAAAAUUCACAUGCUUCUGCAGGAGGACCUGCUCAUUGUCUUCAGAUAAGUGCCUAUACAUGUCAGUCAGUAGGUUUGUUCUAUAUGAAAUGAAUAACAAGUCUUAGACAAAGCUAAGACUUGCCUUUUUUUUUCUCAGUUGUUGUUGUAGUGAAACUUUAGUAAAUAGAUGACCCUAAAUUUUUUUAAAUUUUGAGUUCUAGGCAUAGGCUGAAUUAUAAAUCUGUCUUUAUAGUAACUUGGGUUUGAAUGCAAGCAGUAAGUCAGGUUUAAAUAAUAUACAGGAAUGAUAAAACUCUUAAUACCUUUUUCAGGGAACAUGACAAUUCUGGGAUAACUCUUUUCUCUCUGGGAAGUCUUCAAACAUCAUAAGGUAAAACUUAGCAUCUCUAAAGAAUUUUGAAUGGUUCACAUGACAUGAGUUUUGUGACAGUUCUCUACUCUGUAGUUGUCAGGGCCCUCACAGCUCAAAAACUUCACCUGUGGUCUCCCCCAACCUCUGUCCACAGGUUCUGGAGCUUCCUUAGUCCCUGCCUGAGUAAAACCAUGGUCAUGGACCCCACUGAUUCUGAACAUGACCCAUGGGCUGAUGGCUUUGACCUCACUUUUACCACAAACCUGCUCCGAGGUCAUGAUUCCAGCUGUACUCACUGGGUCUGAUCCUGACGUGCAGAUAGACUUCCAGCUUCACCUUGGAUUUACCUCAUCACCACAAACUCCUCUAAUUGUCUGAGCUCUUGGUUGAAUAUCAGCUGCUGUCAAUGGUCCUGCCUUGCUUCCUCACUGGGACAGCCAGGACCUGACCUGGUGACACUGCCCUUGGCUCCCUGUUCCCUGGGAGAGCAGCUGCCCUUGCUGCUUCCUGACAGUAUUGCAAGUUUUUAUCUUAUCAAAACAAUAUUGCAGAACAGAACCAGAUGCCAGUCUUUACCCUGCAGUAGCCAUAAGGUGAUUUCCAGUGUCGUUGGUGAUUUUUGGGGGGAAGGGGGGAAUAUCACUAAGAAGCCCAUCCAGUGAAAGGAGUUCCUGUUAACAGUGCACUUGUUUCAUGAGCAGAGGAUUUAUCUCAAUUAUUUUCCUAGAAUAGCCACAGAGUUUUAACACAAACAUCCCAUUUUCUUUUAAUGUGUCUUUGAAAAAAUACUCCCAGCAAAGAGGAUUUUAUGCUGAGCAGCUCUGUUAUGAGCUAAAAAUCACAUGGCUGAGUUGGGACUUGGCCUUAACAGGCCAUUUCAGUUCUAAGUCUAGCUGCAACCUGGAAUUGAAUGGAAGAGUAAUUUUUCCUCUUAAACUGAGGUACUGCAAACCCAAGUCAAGCAGACCCUGUACAAUCCACGUGCCAGUUGUUCCUUAUAAGAGAAUGCAACUAUUAUUAGAGUUUAGAUCUUUCUGAUUUAAAGCAUUUUUAAUAUACUUUUUUCUUAACUGACCUUGGUUUUGCUAACCAAAACACACAAAAAAAAUGCCCAUCCUCAAGUGUCAAUUUUAUUUGAAGACAAUUUUUAAUGAAAAACUAUUGUUCCAGUUUUCAAUUAAUAGAAGUGUUCUGAAGUAAUUUUUUUCCUUAAAUGUUUAUAUUUAUGUUGAUAUAUAAAAUUACAUUUUUGCUAUGCAGAAUUUGGUUUUCUUGACUUCUGCACUUAAGUAAGGACUUUGCUUCUAGAAGGCAAACAUUGGUGAUGUGGCAGUGGUUUGUGAAGCAGCUAUAAAUGUGAUAUAUCCAGUAACGGAGAAUGCUUUUAAGGUAUCUGAAAUAAUAACUCUGAGACUGUGCCAGCUUUGUUAAUUCCAUUAUCUCACUCAAUAAUACUUGUAUAUGUGAUAUCUGAAAUGUAUUAUUUAAUUGUUAUGCAGGUCUUCUUUGCUUGCAAAGACACUGAAAACUUUUCAACAUGAAGGUGUAGUGUCCUUAGGCCAACUCUUUAAUUUAUCAGGACAAGAUUAUGAGAUUACUCUCUGAAUAACAGUGUAUUUUAUCACUGUUUUACAGAAUCAAGUCUACUGUGAGCUUACGGCACAAAGCUUAACAACACAGUUGCAGAACAGUAAAAGAAAAUGUUUUUGAAGGAAAAGUAUUGCUGCCAAUAAUGCUAGGAUGCUGAAAUGUACAGUGAUUUGUAUUUUGAUAUGCUGCAUCCAUACAGCUGAAAAUUGGAUGCAGACUCAAAGCUACUACUAAGAAAAUGUUCAGUACUGGCUAAAAGAAAGCAUCUGGCGCCACUGAAAAAAGGAUGUGUAGUCCUUGUAGGGCUCUGUGCCCUAUCUUCACAAUGAGGUGGUAACUAGUAGGAAGGAAUAAAAAGCGAAUGUAUUGUGCUCUUGUAGAGUACUGUUUAUUUACUGGGGUUUUUUUCCUAACGUUAUAAAAUAGUUUGGCUAUUAUGUAAGUUUUUUGGUAUGACUUCAUGACUCUUCCUUUUCCCCCAUGAACUUGCACCUUAAAAUAUUUUAAAAUUAUAUCAAUUUAUUAAUAAUAAAGAUGUGUUAAAAUACCAAAUACUGUAAUGUAAAACAUUACAAGAAUCCCUUCUGCCAGUAGUAAACAACAAAGUUGAAAGGUAUGUGUUAAAGGAACAUUAAUAACCAGCAACACAGUCUCACUAGUAGAGGUACUGGAGAGUUGAGUGGUUGCAUGGGAAUUAGUCAGAAGCAGGAACAGCUGUUUGUUUGCUGCACAAGUUCAUGGACUUGUUCCUCAUCUGUCAGUCACUGCAGGGCUGUGAGUGUGAAGCACUACCCACAGGUACCCAGAGACGUUAGAGCAGGGUUCAGGCACGCGAGUUAGUAGGGCAGUAAGGUAAUCCGCUUCCUGCCAUCAGUUCUGCCCAGUCAUUUCUGGCUCAGCAUCAGAGAAAAGGGCUGCAAUUUCAUCCCUGUUUCCUCACUUCUCUCUUUCUCUUUUAUAGUUCUCAGUUUUUCAAUUAAUGAGAAGUACUGGUUCAAUCUGCGCCACAAAUCUUUAGGCACUUCUUACCAUAGGUCAAAAAUGUCCCUGUUAUUUCCCCAUCUGCUCUACAGUAAUCUGGGUGCUUGUCUCAGACCUACCUAACAUAAAAAGCCCCAACAAAGCAAGGAAAGAACAAGGAGAUUUUUAUCCUUGGAAAGACAGAAAAAGUCCUUCUACUACUAAGCAGCUUGCAAGGCCAAAAGUUGAUAAUUUUAUAUAAUUAAUAUUUCUUUACUUCAUCUGCGAUCAUUCACUUGUCCAAAAGCUGUUUCAGGCCAGUUUACUCACUCACAGACAGACGAGUAAUUAUUGUAGAUUUAAGACACCUAAACCCAAAAUACUGUCAGAUGUGACUGUUGCACAAGAGGAUCAGACUAAAAACCCGUUACUACUCUUUCAGAUUAGCAAAGCCCUGGAUGCAGGCUUCCCUCCAUCAUUCCUAAAAUAAUGCUAAUCCCUAUACCUAAGAUUUUGCAAUUCUGUAGCUGGACAGCACCUAUACUGAAAGGAUUUUCCAUUGCUGCUGUCGUCUCGGCAGAUUAGUUAUAGGAGGCGACUCCAAGAACAAGCCAUGCUUGACCUGCACAAAAUCUUCAGAUAUUUUAACUUUUUCCUCUUUAAAAAAAUUCUCAAGCAUUAACAAUUAGUAGUGGAGAAACAUUGUGUUUAUAUGACAUAUAUGACAAAUGACAUUAUCUCCAUUUUUUUCCCUUGUGAAAGGGGAAAGACCAGUGGUGCAAGACACUGAGGAACAUCUUAAUUUAAAAUUUAAUUUAACCCACUUUGACACAGCAUAGAUUAUGCCAUAAAGAUACCACUACUGAAACUACAUUUUGCAGUGCAGCCAUCUGGGCCCACUUUAACUUUGUGGACUAGGGGUUAUGAUAUAAGAAGUGUGUUGCCAAGGAAGAAGAAUGUCUUCCUCCCUCAUGAAGUUAAGGUAUUUCAUAUUGUGAUAAACCAUAAACAAUGAUUCUGUGAGUGACAUUCCAGAAAACCCUCUAAUGUAUACAUCAAUUGGUCAAGAUUCCAUAAUUCUGCCUUGGACCAUUCCAUUUAUGUCCUAAAACUCACAAUGCUGUUAAAGACUUUUCACUGCAACUUUCAUGCUUAUUGAGAGGUGAGGAAGAACAAUGUAGGAUAUUCACAGUCCUUUGAACAAAGAUAGGAAAUAGAAACAUUUUAGACCUGCUUCAGUCUCUUCAUUAUGCAGGAUUCAAUACUGAAAUUUUUUAUUCUCUCAAGCUAAAGACUAGUAAUUUAUUUUAUCACAUCUUUUGCAGUUUCCUGUACAAACUCCUGCAGACCACAGUGGUGGAUGUCCCUCCUGAAAUGGCACUUUCUGCUCUAUCCACACCAGAAGGCAAUUGGAACUCACGUGUGAUUCUCCAUCCUCCUUGCACUUCAUAGAGACAUCUGACCAGAGACUGCUGAUGCACAGACAGCUGGAGUAUUGCUGUCUUAUACAGAGAAGGAGUGUGGGAAUAAGUAAACAGAAGGGCCAGAAAUCCUCACUCUAGGGAAGUGUGGAACUGAUACUGGAAGACUGUCAAGUCAGAAUAUCCCUAGAAUGAUAGGACAUGAGUUCAAGCCAUACAUAAAUCCAGAUUUCAGAGGCUUGAGCUCAGGUAAGACUCUGGAUUACAUGACAUUUGUAAGAAAAGGAAAACUACAGUGAUUUCAUGUAUUCAAAACCUUUCCUCAAUCAAACUAAGACAAAUUAGUUUCAACAGAAGAAAAAAAAUAUCCUGGAAGUAAUUCCCAGAAUUUUGAAUGAAGAAAUUUUCAAAAAUUCAAAUUUAAGAUAUUGCUUUACUUGAAAACUGUUUCAGGCUGAGGCAGGAUCUGAAUCUUAAUUGUCACAGCCCUACAAAAUGAUUCUACAUAUAGGAGCUUAUUACAUACAUAAUUACCUUAUUCUAGUUUGUAUUCUAGAACAAACAUAUCUGGAUGAGACAGUUAUUCAGUAAGGAUGCUGUUUUUAUUCUUGAAUAAUUCCAUGUGCA
rnacentral:lncRNA from 1 species